rnacentral:misc_RNA from 1 species
GCUGAUUUUGACUCCUCCGCAUCUGCAAACUCCACAAAAGCCUCUCCCGUCGGCCUACCCUCGCUGUUCAGCGUGAUAUGAACGCUAUCCUCCGACAGCUGGAACUCCAAAAAGAACUCCACCACAUCGUCCUUCCCCGCAGAAUAAGGCAAUCCCCUCAUACGAAUAACUCCCGUGUGCUCCACCAAAUCCUUCCCAUCAUCACUCGACUUUGCCCGACCACCUCGACGAGGAGGAGAACCCCCCUUCGCAUCUGCCACCUCAUGUGCAACCGCCUUGUAGUAUUCUUGCCUUUUACCCCUGAAAACCUCAAUGUACCGCCUACCCAUGUUCUGACGAUUCUUCUGAAGGGCGUAAUCA